GGGAGCGCGCCUUAACCCUUCGCUGACCCUUGCGUCGGGGACACACGCGGCCCGAGCGGUGGCCAGGGACCCACAGGUGGGCGGCAGGGACCCCGGCGGCGCCGCCAGGCUCGGGGGGAAGCGCACCGAGGCCUCCCGCACGCCCGACCGCCCGUGCCGCCGCCACCUGCGCCGCCGCUUCCGCCCGGGGGGGCGCGGCUCUGCCUCCGACUUCCGGUUCGCGCGCCCCGGCCGCGCAGACAGUUUCACGUAGCCCAGACUGGCCUCAGACUCAAUUUAUAGUUGAGGAUGACCUUUGAACUCCAAUUCCGGUGCAAGGAUUAUGCCCAAGAAAGUUCCUAAUCAUCAUUUUGAACCUGGCUACCUCGAGCACACUUCCAGUGGAGAACAUUCUUGGCUGCACAUCUACCUCACCAGCACAAAGUGUCUUCUUGUGUUCAUGGAAUGUUUCCUUGUGUACUUUCAGUUUGUUAGCUCACAGUCCUUCGUACAGCUCUGUUUUGCUUUUUAACAUACAAUAAAGUUGAUCUUUAUUUGGUUUACAUAUCUGUCAACGUUAAGAAUAGAUUUACCUGAAGAAUAGAUUUGUGUAGUGGCUACCACAGGCAGGUAGUUCCAUCACCCCUCAAAAGGCUACCUAGUAGUGUCCCUUUGCGGUCACAACCUUGUUCCAUCCUUACUCUCUGCAGCCACUGAGAUGUUAAUAUUUAUAUGCAAGUUUGUGUGAGAGCAUAGUUUUUACAUCACUAGGGUAGAUAAAGUGAGAUUUCUAGGACCAUAUGGUAGUUGUAUGUUAAAACUAAAUUAGAAGCUACCAAACCUUUUGUUUGGUUUUUGAGACAGAGUCUCCAUAUAACCGUGGCUAUCUUAGAACUGACAGAUAAUCUACCUGCCUUGACCUCCCAGGUGUAGGGAUUAAAGGUGUGUACCACCAUGCUCAGCGCUACCAAGCCAUCAGACAAAGUGGAUUUUACAAGUUUGCAUCUCUAGUAGGUAUAUAUGGAGUUUCCAGUUGCCUUACAGCCUCAGUACUUGUUGCUGUUUUUACAUUAAUUUUUCUAAUAGGUAGUAUACAGUGAUAUCCCAGCAUGCAUCUGGUUUGGUUUGGAUGAGGAAAAGGCCUCACUGUAGCCCAGACUGGUCUAGAAUUCACUAAAGCAACCCCCCAUUGGACUCGGACUCAAGGCAUGUCCCCUGCCUCAGACUUCCAAGUGUUAAGUUUCCAGGUUUGAGCCACCAUGAGUACUUCUUUCGUGAUGGUUUGAUUCACAUUUCUGUAAUAGCAAUGUUCCAUCUGCUUAGCUGCCACCUGUGUAGUCUGUGCAUAUCUUUAGCCUAUUUUUAACUGGGUCAUCAUUUUCUUUCUAUUGAGAUGUGAGGUUUGCCCCUUUUUUAAAUUCUAGAUACAGUUCCUUUAUCAGACAUUCAAUUUGCAAAUAUUCCAUCAAGCCUGCACGUUUUCAUCCUUUUAACAAAGUAUCUAUCACUGGGGGAAGGACGGGGGCUAACUUUAGAGAAGUCUGAUUUAUCAGCUUUAUCUCGUGGGUCAUGCUUUUGGUGACAGCUGAGUACCCUCUAACCCAAGUCAUUAAGAUUUUGUUUUUGCCAGGCCUGGUGACACUGCUCUGUAGUCCAGCUAAUAAAAGAGGCUAAGCAAGGAGGAUCAAAAGAUUCAAGGCCUGCCUGGGUAACUGAGCAAGACUUUCUUCCAAAAGUUGUGUAAUUUUAAAUUAUGUUACUAACAAAUGCUUGUAAUUGUUCUUUGUUAUUGCUGUUUUAAAUACCUGAUUAAUUAUAACACCCUGGCCUCCUAUAAUCUUUCCUAUUUUAGACAUUAUGUUCAACUAUUCAAACACAGGAAACAUUUUUUAAUUUUUAAGAAUUGUUAUAGUGUGUGUGUGUUUAACUGAGUGUCAGAGAGAGAUUGAUUGGUUCUGGUGUAUGUGGUCAUCAAAGGUACAACUUGAAGGGCUGAACUCAGAUUGUCAAAUCUUGCCAGCCCACUUAAAAUCUCUGAAAGUCUGUCCCUGGGGUUUUUAUUGCUGUGAAGAGACACCAUGACCAUGGCAGCUCUUCUGAAGGAAAACAUUUAAUUGGGGCCAUCUUAACAGUUUCAGAGGUUUUGUUCAUUAUAUUCAGGCAGAAAACAUGGCGGCAUGCAGGCAUACUGGAGAAGGAGCUGAGAGUUCUACAUCCAGAUCACAAGCAGUGAGGGAACCAACCAGAGCGUCUUGAGACCUCAAAGCCCGCCCCCACAGUGUCACACUUCCUCCAGUAAGGCCACACCUACUCCAACAAGGACACACCUCCUAAUAGUGCCACUGUUUGGGUUGAGCAUUAACACAAGAGUCUAUGGGGGCCAUUCCUAUUCAAACCGCCACGAUCGGCCCUCUUUUUUUAUUCUUUUUCUGUUGUUUGUUUUUGGUGCUAGGGAUUGAACCCAGAGCCUCCUGUGUCUUUAGCCCCUGAGGAAUCUUUCUGUCAUUCACCUUCAGUCUGUAUGUGUCUUUGGGUCUAAAGUAAGCACCUUAUAAGUGGCAUGUAGUUGAGUUAUAGUUUUUCUUACUUAUUUUGCUGAUCUGUCUCUGACUGAGACUUUACUCCCUUGCAUUUUAAAAUGUCAGUAGUAAGGGGAGACUUUAUUCUGCCAUCUUAGUGUUUUCUCUUUCCUCCCCUGUUUGCUUCUCGUGCUGGGGUGUUAACCAGCACAUGCUGGGCUGCUGUACACUGAGCUGCAGCCCAGCCCUCACUGUGUUUUCUGGAUGCCUAGGAACUAUCAUCUCCUGCAUCACUAGAGAAGUUACCCCCUUGUCUGUAAGAGAUGCCUUCUAAGGUUCCCGGUGUUGGGUGGGCGAGAUGGCUUAGCACGUAAAAGUGCUCGCCACCAAGUCUCAAGACUUGAGUUCAUUCCCCAGAAUCCAAGGUGUUCUCUGACCCCCACAUGCUUUCCAGUGCCCUCUUCUGGCCUCUACAGACACUUCACACACUUGAUACACAGACAUAUGCGGGUGGGACAACCACACGCAUAAAAUUAGAGACUUACGUUGAAGUUCCUUUUUAUGUUUUGUUUUGUCUGUGAUUGUCCAAUCCUAGCACUGUUGAAAAGACUUCAGUUUCUCUAUGUAAUUGGCUUCAUUAUCUCUCUUCAAAUCAGAAGCAACAUUUGAAUCAUCGAUACCAGCCACUAGCAAUGAUGGCAGCUUUAGAAUCAUUUUGUCUACCCUGGAAAAAAGUCCUACUUGGAAAUCCGGGGUGGAGUGUCUGCUUACGGACUUACUUACUUCUCUGUUGCUGUGAUAAAAUACCAUGACAAAAAAAAAAAAAAAAAAAAGCAACCUACAAAAA